GGCUUAGUGGUGGUUAGUGGUUAGCAUGUUCGCCUCACACUUCCAGGGUCCAGGGUCCGAUUCCCGCUGGGGCCA